GAUCUUGAAUUUUUUCAAGUUCCUGUUCGUUGAGAAAACUUGCUGUGGAAUACGUAACAUAUGAGACAUUUUAGGUAGGUACUUAAUCGACGAAGUGAAUUUUUAUUCAGUAGGUAAGACUGUUUCGGAUAAUUUUGCAGCUCAAAACCUCUACACAAAUAUACAUAAUUAAGAACUGUUGGUUAUUUAGCACUUCGCAGUAAUUUUCUCAUUCGGCAUGGACGAAACCAUUUUAACCCAUUCACGCAGGGAAUUGUUUUUACAAAAAGUAAUUCUAUAUUUAACUGAAUCCAAAAGAAGAGAAAUUGCUAUGGCUGAGCUCAUAUUAGAAUUAUUUUAUCCGGCAUUUAACGUACCAGAAAAAGAUCCCGAUGAUGAUGAAUACGUAUCAAACUCAAUAAAUAAAAACGACACUGGAAAAAUUUCAAAGAAAACGAAAGAUGAAGACGCCAAAUCUCUGACCAGCUUAGAAUUUAUCAAAAAAAAAUGGGAAAUUCGAUCAAAGUCCAAAUUAUAGUCAAUCAAGUACAAAAAUAAAAUAAAAAGGAAUGAUGAAUGAUGCGAUAUGACCAGUAGAUGAUGAGAAAAAAAUUGGUUCUCAUGGAAUUGGUAUACCUAGAAGUUUUAAUUUUAUAUGAAAGUUCUCAGCUAUUUUCAAGGAAUAUGGAUGUAAUUUUAAAAGAAUUUAUCUUUUGAUUUUUUUCAAAAUAUUUAGUACUUUCAAUUAAACAAUUUUUUAUACUGGA